rnacentral:rRNA from 1 species
GUGCCAGCCGCCGCGGUAAUACAGAGGGUGCGAGCGUUAAUCGGAAUUACUGGGCGUAAAGCGCACGUAGACGGUUUUGUAAGUCAGAUGUGAAAUCCCUGGGCUCAACCUGGGAACUGCAUUUGAGACUGCAAGGCUAGAGUAUGGAAGAGGGAAGUGGAAUUUCCGGUGUAGCGGUGAAAUGCGUAGAUAUCGGAAGGAACACCAGUGGCGAAAGCGACUUCCUGGUCCAAUACUGACGUUCAGGUGCGAAAGCGUGGGGAGCAAACAGGAUUAGAAACCCGUGUAGUCCAAU